rnacentral:piRNA from 1 species
UGGGUUCNCCAGCGACAAGGCUAAGGCGG